rnacentral:rRNA from 1 species
AUCGGGGCAGGGUGAGUCGACCCCUAAGGCGAGGCCGAAAGGCGUAGUCGAUGGGAAACAGGUUAAUAUUCCUGUACUUGGUGUUACUGCGAAGGGGGGACGGAGAAGGCUAUGUUAGCCGGGCGACGGUUGUCCCGGUUUAAGCAUGUAGGCUGAUUGUCCAGGCAAAUCCGGAUAAUCAAGGCUGAGGUGUGAUGACGAGGCACUACGGUGCUGAAGUAACAAAUGCCCUGCUUCCAGGAAAAGCCUCUAAGCAUC